rnacentral:rRNA from 1 species
AUGGAGGCCGCCGCGUCGGCGUCGGCGUCGGCGCCGCGCCUGCUGCAGUGCGGGGGGUUCGGCCGGGGCCGCGUCGUGGCCGGGCUCGUCUCCCCGCUCCCGCGCCGCUCCACGCACCAACACCAGCGCCGCCUCCGCCGCGUGCUCGCCGUCGCCACCGAGCCCAGGCCGCCCCCGCCCUCGCCGCUGGCCCCGCCCCGCACCGGCAGGACCAGGGCCAACACCAUCCAGUCCACCAGGUUCGGGGACGUGUCCAAGGAGAUCAAGCGGGUGCGGAAGCAGAUGGAGGAGGACGAGCAGCUGGCCUCCCUCAUGCGCGGCCUCCGCGGCCAGAACCUCCGCGACGACCAGUUCGCCGACAAGGACGUCACCAUGCGACUCGUCGAGGUGACCAACACCGAGGGGCUGCCUCUCGUGUACAGCCCCGAGAUCAUUUCGGCCUACUGGGGCAAAAGGCCGGGUGCCGUCGCCACCCGAGCCGUGCAAUUGUUAUCUGUGGCUGGUGGUUUCAUCUCCCACAUCAUAUCUGACCUCAUCACCGACAAAAUCAAGGAGAACGAAGUGACGCGCGCGAUCGAGCUGAGGGAGAUCGUCACGUCUCUGGGCCCUGCCUACAUCAAGCUCGGCCAGGCGCUGAGCAUCCGGCCCGACAUUCUGUCCCCUGCGGCGAUGACCGAGCUGCAGAAGCUAUGCGACAAGGUUCCUUCGUUUCCUGACGAUAUCGCGAUGGCUCUCCUGGAAGAAGAGCUUGGCCGGCCAUGGCAAGAUAUAUACUCGGAACUGUCUCCCUCACCAAUUGCUGCAGCAUCUCUGGGACAGGUGUACAAAGGCCGGUUGAAAGACACUGGAGAACUGGUGGCUGUGAAAGUGCAAAGGCCAUUUGUACUUGAGACUGUCACCAUAGAUCUAUUCAUCAUUAGAAAUUUGGGGUUGGUUCUCAAGAGAUUUCCGCAGGUCGCCCUUGAUGUUGUUGGCCUAGUAGAUGAGUGGGCUGCCCGGUUUUUUGAAGAACUCGAUUAUGUCAACGAAGGGGAAAAUGGCACCCGCUUCGCUGAAAUGAUGAGAGAAGAUCUUCCUCAGGUUGUUGUACCAAAGACGUACCCUGAAUAUACGUCCAGAAAAGUUCUUACCACAGGGUGGGUAGAUGGUGAGAAGCUUUCACAGAGUACUGAGGAUGAUGUUGGGUCGUUGGUUAAUGUUGGUGUCAUAUGCUAUCUAAAACAGUUACUUGAUACUGGAUUCUUCCAUGCCGACCCUCAUCCUGGAAAUAUGAUUAGGACACCUGAUGGAAAGCUUUGUAUUCUUGAUUUUGGGCUUGUGACAAAACUGACAGAUGAUCAGAAGUACGGAAUGAUUGAAGCAAUAGCUCACCUUAUUCAUCGUGAUUAUGAUGCAAUCGUGAAGGACUUUGUGAAGCUUGGUUUUAUCCCUGAGGGAGUUAACUUGGAUCCAAUCUUACCUGUGCUGGCUAAAGUUUUUGAUCAGGCACUUGAAGGAGGUGGUGCGAAGAAUAUUAACUUUCAAGAGUUGGCAGCGGAUCUAGCACAGAUAACAUUUGAUUACCCAUUCAAGAUACCUCCGUAUUUUGCUUUGAUUAUUAGAGCAAUUGGAGUACUGGAAGGUAUUGCUUUGGUGGGAGACCCUGAAUUUGCCAUUGUGGAUGAAGCAUAUCCUUAUAUUGCACAGAGGCUGCUAACGGAUGAAUCACCUCGACUAAGGAGUGCCUUGCGUUACACAAUAUAUGGCAAAACAGGUGUCUUUGACGCAGAGAGGUUCAUUGACGUCAUGCAAGCUUUCGAGAAUUUUAUUAGUGCAGCAAAGAGCGGUGGUGGGGAGGACAUGAAGGGUAACAUGGCUGAGCUGGGUGCUAUAGGAUUCCAACCUAGCACCAGUUUAGUUCCUGCAUUCCCAAUGGCCAUUUCCCAACCGGAGAACCCAAUCAAAGCUCGGGCUGCUCUCUCUUUUCUACUCUCUGACAGGGGUGACUUCUUCCGGGAGUUCAUUCUUGACGAGAUUGUGAAAGCCAUCGACGCGGUUUCAAGGGAGCAAUUGCUACAAAUUGCUUCAUCUUUUGGGGUCAGGAAUCCCGUCCCGGUUUUCGGCAUGGUUCCUGUGAGGUCCGGGGCAUUGCUUCCUACAAUCACAGAGGAAGACAGGAUCAUCUUGAACAACGUGGAGAAGGUUGCCAAGUUUCUAACGGCUGGGACGGCAAACCAAACAGUCAACGGGGACGUAAAUGUCGUGUCUCUGGUGCAAGAGCUUCUACCCGUGUUGCCGAGCAUCACGUCGAAGAUCCUACCAGAUGUCUUGAGCCGGUUGUCAUCACGUGUAUUCGCACGGGUGAUCCGGGAAUCAUUUUUGUGA